UUCGGAAUCACUGGGCGUAAAGCGUGCGUAGGCUGUUUCGUAAGUCGUGUGUGAAAGGCGCGGGCUCAACCCGCGGACGGCACAUGAUACUGCGAGACUAGAGUAAUGGAGGGGGAACCGGAAUUCUCGGUGUAGCAGUGAAAUGCGUAGAUAUCGAGAGGAACACUCGUGGCGAAGGCGGGUUCCUGGACAUUAACUGACGCUGAGGCACGAAGGCCAGGGGAGCGAAAGGGAUUAGAUACCCCUGUAGUCCUGGCAGUAAACGGUGCACGCUUGGUGUGCGGGGAAUCGACCCCCUGCGUGCCGGAGCUAACGCGUUAAGCGUGCCGCCUGGGGGG
rnacentral:rRNA from 1 species